AAUUACGGCGGCUGUACGCGGGGCACCUUCGGGUGCGCCGGGUCCUAGGUUCUCGGUCUUCCACACCCGCGUACAGCUGCCACCCAC
rfam:Pseudomonas fluorescens F113, complete genome.